AGUCUGAUUUUGUAGCCUUCAAUUCGUAGUGAAAGAAAUUUUUCUAUGUUGUCUCCUUGAAUGUGAUCAUCAUUCGUCAUAGAUAACUGUUGAAUAUUGUUUGACUAACAGAAAUCGAGUUGGUAUAUUUUUUCGAUCGAUUGUAGUCGAGUCGGCAUAUUGUUCCAUCCGAUUGUAAUCGAGUCGGCAUAUUGUUCCGUCUUACUGUAGUCGAUUCAGUAUAUUACUCUAUCUGACUAUAGUCGAGUCAGCAUGUUGGUCCUCUUGGGACUCAUUUCGAUUUGGAGAUCGAUAUUUUUCUGCUUUGAUCCUUUAGGGCUUAAGUCGGAG
rnacentral:lncRNA from 1 species